rnacentral:rRNA from 1 species
UGGACAGAAAGACCCUAGAAGCUUUACUGUAACUUGGAAUUGGGUUUGAGCUUUUCUUGCGCAGCAUAGGUGGGAAGCUAAGAAAAUAGGUUUGCGGAUCUAUUUGAGCUAUCAGUGAGAUACCACUCUGGAAAAGCUAGAAUUCUAACCUUGAAAGCCGUUAUCCGGCCAAGGGACAGUUUCAGGUGGGCAGUUUGACUGGGGCGGUCGCCUCCUAAAAAGUAACGGAGGCGUGCAAAGGUUCCCUCAGGCUGGUUGGAAAUCAGUCGUAGAGUGUAAAGGCAUAAGGGAGCUUGACUGCAAGACCUACAAGUCGAGCAGAGACGAAAGUCGGCCUUAGUGAUCCGACAGUGCCGAGUGGAAGGGCUGUCGCUCAACGGAUAAAAGUUACUCUAGGGAUAACAGGCUGA